CGGACGGCAAAUUUCUGUGCUGAGCUAUCCGAAUUUCUAUUGGAAGAGGAAUUCCUGUAGUGCAGGCUUGAUAACGGAUAAUCAAAUUACACGUUGGCAUUCAAGACAUGCUUAAAAUAUCAGCCUCUCAGCGGUACUGAGCGUGCUAACACCCAUGAACUCUGCACCCUCAGAGCGUGUCGUGGUGCUGACUGAACGCUGUGUGACACUGCACCUGCAGUUACCCCGCGUGAAUCUCCCGUGGUGCCUCUUAACAAACAAUGGAUCCCGAAAAAUGGACACACAGAGCAAUCCUUCUGGCCUGCACGUAAUCUGCAACAGCCAGAAUUUACAAAGAAGAGUUAGGGCACGUUAUGGGCUCAUAACGUGCUUAAUCCCGCUUCAUAAUUCUGUCGCAUUGACAUCAUAU
rnacentral:lncRNA from 1 species